CGGGUGCUGGACCUGCAGCACCACGGACGCGGCUGCCUUGCUGCACCUGUGACGCCAGGGCACAGAGGAAGUGGCUAUUUGUACGCUCAGUGCUCAGAACAGUGGGCACUAAGAAAAUGGUUUGUAGCCUGACAUUC
rnacentral:snoRNA from 1 species